GAUGAACGCUAGCGAUAGGCUUAACACAUGCAAGUCGAGGGGCAGCAUGGUCUUAGCUUGCUAAGACUGAUGGCGACCGGCGCACGGGUGCGUAACGCGUAUGCAACUUGCCUCACAGAGGGGGAUAACCCGUCGAAAGACGGACUAAUACCGCGUACACUCUAUUUUGGGCAUCCAAGGUAGAGGAAAUGAAAUUCGCUGUGAGGUAGGCAUGCGUCCCAUUAGCUAGUUGGUGAGGUAACGGCUCACCAAGGCGACGAUGGGUAGGGGAACUGAGAGGUUGACCCCCCACACUGGUACUGAGACACGGACCAGACUCCUACGGGAGGCAGCAGUGAGGAAUAUUGGUCAAUGGGCGAGAGCCUGAACCAGCCAAGUCGCGUGAAGGAGGACUGUCUUAUGGAUUGUAAACUUCUUUUGUAGGGGAAUAAAGAGGGGCACGUGUGCCCCAGUGAAUGUACCCUACGAAUAAGCAUCGGCUAACUCCGUG
rnacentral:rRNA from 1 species